rnacentral:rRNA from 1 species
AAUAUUGCACAAUGGGGGAAACCCUGAUGCAGCCAUGCCGCGUGUGUGAAGAAGGCCUUCGGGUUGUAAAGCACUUUCAGUAGGGAGGAAGGUAGUGUAGUUAACACCUGCAUUAUUUGACGUUACCUACAGAAGAAGCACCGGCUAACUCCGUGCCAGCAGCCGCGGUAAUACGGAGGGUGCGAGCGUUAAUCGGAAUUACUGGGCGUAAAGCGCAUGCAGGCGGCCUGUUAAGUCAGAUGUGAAAGCCCGGGGCUUAACCUCGGAAUUGCAUUUGAAACUGGCAGGCUAGAGUCUUGUAGAGGGGGUAGAAUUUCAGGUGUAGCGGUGAAAAUGCGUAGAGAUCUGAAGGAAUACCAGUGGCGAAGGCGGCCCCCUGGACAAAGACUGACGCUCAGAUGCGAAAGCGUGGGGAGCAAACAGGAUUAGAUACCCUGGUAG